GACGAACCGUGCGAACGUUAUUCGGAAUCACUGGGCUUAAAGCGCGUGUAGGCGGGUCGGCGCGGCGGACGCCGAAAUCCCCCGGCUCAACCGGGGAAGGGGCGCCGAUACGGCCGGCCUGGAGGGACGUAGGGGGGGCUGGAACUUCCGGUGGAGCGGUGAAAUGCGUUGAGAUCGGAAGGAACGCCCGUGGCGAAAGCGAGCCCCUGGACGUCUACUGACGCUGAGACGCGAAAGCCAGGGGAGCGAACGGG
rnacentral:rRNA from 1 species